rnacentral:rRNA from 1 species
GUGGGGAAUAUUGCACAAUGGGGGAAACCCUGAUGCAGCGACGCCGCGUGAGCGAAGAAGUAUUUCGGUAUGUAAAGCUCUAUCAGCAGGGAAGAAGAAAUGACGGUACCUGACUAAGAAGCCCCGGCUAACUACGUGCCAGCAGCCGCGGUAAUACGUAGGGGGCAAGCGUUAUCCGGAUUUACUGGGUGUAAAGGGAGCGUAGGCGGCAUGGCAAGUCUGAUGUGAAAACCCAGGGCUCAACCCUGGGACUGCAUUGGAAACUGUCAAGCUGGAGUGUCGGAGAGGUAAGCGGAAUUCCUAGUGUAGCGGUGAAAUGCGUAGAUAUUAGGAGGAACACCAGUGGCGAAGGCGGCUUACUGGACGAUGACUGACGCUGAGGCUCGAAAGCGUGGGGAGCAAACAGGAUUAGAAACCCUAGUAGUCC